AUGCUACCACUACCCGUCCACCUGUCCUUCAUGUGCGGCCACUACUGGGCGGGCAUGAAGGCCAACUGGAUUGUCCUCAUCCACCACACCGCACCAUAUAACUGGAAUUACCGGUGCAAGUCGAAGAAGGAUUGGCCGGUGCUGCCGUCUGGCGUCAAGUUCGAUCCCACGGAUCAGGAGCUGAUCGAGCACCUUGAGGCCAAAGUGAGUGCUGACAGCGCGAGAUUUCAGUCUCUCAUCGAUUUGUUCAUACCAACCAUCGACAGCGAGCACGGCAUAUGCUACACCCAACCUAAGAAACUUCCAGGUAUCACACUGAGUGGCCUAAGGAAGCAUUUCUUCCUGCGCAAUUCCAGGGAGUUCAAAAGGAGCACGUGGAUGCGUCGCAAGAUACAGUCGGAGUGCGGCAUGCAUGCGAUGUGGCACAAGACCGGCAAUACCUUGCCGGUGAUGGUCAACGGCCGGCAGACGGGCAACAAAAAAGGUUCUGGUGCUGCACACCAACAAGAACUUCGACCAGCACAGGACCAACUGGGUGAUGCACCAGUACCACCUCGGGGACCUGGAGCAAGAGAAGGAGCGGGAGCUAGUCCUCUGCAAGAUUUUCUACCACACGAACACUAG
rnacentral:rRNA from 1 species